CAACUUUUCCUCUACACAGGUUUUGAUUAAUCUCCCACCAUGUAGUUAUGCCCCUGACCCCUGCUUCUAAUGUCUUGGUGCCAUACACCACAGGACACUUUAAGAAGUCUUGUAGACUCCAGGCUCCGAAGGGUACCGGAGACCACUGCUGGAGCUGCAAAAGGGGGCGAUCUGAAAAGAAAAGGGGAAAAAUCCCCCGAUAUGUACCCCUCUAAUUGUGGACCACACAAAACCAGCCUUUGGAAAUCUUCAGCAGUGCGUUUCCCAUCGGUACCUUCAGCAGCAUUGUCAUCCUGGAGAAGAGAUGCUAGAGGGUCCUCCUCCAUGGUUGGCGGAAGGGGAGACAAUGGCAGCAAAU